rnacentral:rRNA from 1 species
UUCCAGCUCCAAUAGCGUAUAUUAAACGUUGUUGCAGUUAAAAAGCUCGUAGUUGAACCUUGGGUCUGGCUGGCAGGUCCGCCUCACCGCGUGUACUUGUCCGGCCGGGCCUUCCUUCUGGAGAACCUCAUGCCCUUCACUGGGCGUGUUGGGGACCAGGACUUUUACCUUGAAAAAAACUUAGAGUGUUCAAAGCAGGCCUUUGCUCGAAUACGUUAGCAUGGAAUAAUAGAAUAGGACGUGCGGUCCUAUUUUGUUGGUCUCUAGGGACCGCCGUAAUGAUUAAUAGGGACAGUCGGGGGGCAUCAGUAUUCAAUUGUCAGAGGUGAAAUUCUUGGAUUUAUUGAAGACUAACUACUGCGAAAGCAUCUGCCAAGGAUG